AAAGGAGUUUAGCUCAGCUGGGAGAGCCAUCUGCCUUACAAGCAGAGGGUCAGCGGUUCGAUCCCGUAACUCCCAUA
rnacentral:tRNA from 1 species